rnacentral:rRNA from 1 species
AUACGUAGGUGGCAAGCGUUGUCCGGAAUUAUUGGGCGUAAAGCGCGGGCAGGCGGUCCUUUAAGUCUGAUGUGAAAGCCCACGGCUCAACCGUGGAGGGUCAUUGGAAACUGGGGGACUUGAGUGCAGAAGAGGAAAGUGGAAUUCCAAGUGUAGCGGUGAAAUGCGAAGAGAUUUGGAGGAACACCAGUGGCGAAGGCGCUUUUCUGGUUUGAAAAGGACGCUGAGGGGCGAAGGCGGGGGGAGAAACCAGGAUAAGAUCCCCUGGUAGCCCACGCCGUAAAGGAUGAGUGCUAAGUGUUAGGGGGUUUCCGCCCCUUAGUGCUGCAGCUAACGCAUUAAGCACUCCGCCUGGGGAGUACGGUCGCAAGACUGAAACUCAAAGGAAUUGACGGGG